rnacentral:tRNA from 1 species
AAAGAAUUAGUUAACUAUUAUAACAUAAAUUUGUCAAAUUUAAAUAAUUUUUUAAAAAUAUUCUUUU